AACCACCCGAUCCCAUCCCGAACUCGGAAGUGAAACCGUUUAGCGCCGAUGAUAGUGUGGCAGUUUGCCAUGCGAAAGUAGGGAAUUGCCAAGC
rnacentral:rRNA from 1 species